UUCGCAAUGCCCGAAAGGGUGACGAAGCGACGCCGCGUGGAUGAAGAAGGCCUUCGGGUUGUAAAAUCCUGUCAGGAGUUAAGAAAUGUAGGUGCGAUAAUACCGUGCCUAUUUGACAAAGGCUCCAAAGGAAGCCACGGCUAACUCUGUGCCAGCAGCCGCGGUAAUACAGAGGUGGCAAGCGUUGUUCGGAAUUAUUGGGCGUAAAGAGCACGUAGGUGGGUUUGCAAGUCAGAUGUGAAAGCCUUCUGUUCAACGGAAGAAUUGCAUCUGAAACUGCUAAUCUUGAGUAUAGGAGGGGAGAAUGGAACUUCUGGUGGAGCGGUGAAAUGCGUAGAUAUCAGAAGGAACGCCGGCGGCGAAAGCGACUCUCUGGCCUAUAACUGACACUGAGUGUGCGAAAGCUAGGGGAGCAAACGGGAUUAGAUACCCCGGUAGUCCUAGCCGUAAACGAUGGGCACUAAGU
rnacentral:rRNA from 1 species